ACGCCGUAAACGAUGAGUGCUAGGUGUUAGGCCCUUUCCGGGGCUUAGUGCCGCAGCUAACGCAUUAAGCACUCCGCCUGGGGAGUACGACCGCAAGGUUGAAACUCAAAGGAAUUGACGGGGGCCCGCACAAGCGGUGGAGCAUGUGGUUUAAUUNGAAGCAACGCGAAGAACCUUACCAGGUCUUGACAUCCCGAUGCCCGCUCUAGAGAUAGAGUUUUACUUCGGUACAUCGGUGACAGGUGGUGCAUGGUUGUCGUCAGCUCGUGUCGUGAGAUGUUGGGUUAAGUCCCGCAACGAGCGCAACCCUUAUUGUUAGUUGCCAUCAUUCAGUUGGGCACUCUAGCGAGACUGCCGGUAAUAAACCGGAGGAAGGUGGGGAUGACGUCAGAUCAUCAUGCCCCUUAUGACCUGGGCUACACGCGUGCUACAAUGGCUGGUACAACGAGUCGCAAGUCGGUGACGGCAAGCUAAUCUNUUAAAGCCAGUCUCAGUUCGGAUUGUAGGCUGCAACUCGCCUACAUGAAGUCGGAAUCGCUAGUAAUCGCGGAUCAGCACGCCGCGGUGAAUACGUUCCCGGGCCUUGUACACACCGCCCGUCACACCACGAGAGUUUGUAACACCCGAAGUCGGUGAGGUANCCUU
rnacentral:rRNA from 1 species